UACGUAGGGUGCAAGCGUUGUCCGGAAUUAUUGGGCGUAAAGAGCUCGUAGGCGGUCUGUCGCGUCUGCUGUGAAAACUCAGGGCUUAACCCUGAGCUUGCAUCGGGUACGGGCAGACUAGAGUGCGGUAGGGGAGACUGGAAUUCCUGGUGUAGCGGUGAAAUGCGCAGAUAUCAGGAGGAACACCGGUGGCGAAGGCGGGUCUCUGGGCCGUAACUGACGCUGGAGGAGCGAAAGCAUGGGGAGCGAACAGG
rnacentral:rRNA from 1 species